GACGUAGGUGGCAAGCGUUGUCCGGAUUUACUGGGUGUAAAGGGCGCGUAGGCGGGAUCGCAAGUCAGAUGUGAAAUGUCGGGGCUUAACCCUGGAACUGCAUUUGAAACUGUGAUUCUUGAGUAUCGGAGAGGCAGGCGGAAUUCCAAGUGUAGCGGUGAAAUGCGUAGAUAUUUGGAGGAACACCAGUGGCGAAGGCGGCCUGCUGGACGACAACUGACGCUGAGGCGCGAAAGCGUGGGGAGCAAACAGG
rnacentral:rRNA from 1 species